rnacentral:rRNA from 1 species
GAAUAUGACAUCGCCUAGUGCACUAAAGCACCGCAUCCCAUCAGAACUCUGCAGUUAAGCGUGCUUAGGCGAGAGUAGUACCAGGAUGGGUGACCCCUAGGAAGUCCUCGUUUUGCAUACU